CGAUAAUCGAUGAAAAAGAGAGUAAUUGCAUAGAACUGCAGACAGCGAACCGGGGUGGUGGAAGCCGGUGCAGAGAUGUAAUGAACCGCACUUUUGAGAUAUUUGCUUGAACAGGCGUAAAGGCCUUAUUAGAGCAUAUCGGAUCGUCUCCGUUAAAAGCGUCUAAGCCGAUUCCGCAAUGCGGAAUAACUAGAGUGGUACCGCGGAUGUAAUCAAACGUUCGUCUCUUAU
rnacentral:ncRNA from 1 species